GUGGUUUAAUUCGAAGCAACGCGAAGAACCUUACCAGGUCUUGACAUCCCGAUGCUAUUUCUAGAGAUAGAAAGUUACUUCGGUACAUCGGUGACAGGUGGUGCAUGGCUGUCGUCAGCUCGUGUCGUGAGAUGUUGGGUUAAGUCCCGCAACGAGCGCAACCUUACCUUAGUUGUUUUCCCGAAAGGAUUACCCUCUAAGGGGACUGCCCCGGACAACGGGGAGGAAGGUGGGGAUGACGUCAAGUCCGCAUGCUCCUUACGUCUAGGGCUACACACGUCCUACAAUGGGGUCGACAGUGGGAUGCAAAGCCGCGAGGUGGAGCCAAUCCCCAAACGGCCUCUCAGUUCGGAUAGUAGUCUGCAACUCGACUACUUGAAGUCGGAAUCGCUAGUAAUGGCGGAUCAGCAUGCCGCCGUGAAUACGUUCCCGGGUCUU
rnacentral:rRNA from 1 species